UUUAGCUGUUUGCAGUAAGUCUUGCUGCUGCUUGCUGUUUGGGUCCACAUUGCUUUUAUGAGCUAUAACACUCUUUGAGAAGGUCUGUAGCUUCACUCCUUGAAGCCAGUGAGAUCACGAACUCACCAGGAAGAACGAACAAUUCCAGACGCGCCAUUUUAAGAGCUGUAAUACUCACCGUGAAGGUCUGCAGCUUUACUCCUGAGCCAGUAAGACCACGAACCCCACAGAAGGAAGAAACUCUGAACACGUCCGAAUGUCAGGAGGAACCAAGUCUGACCACACUGCUUUUAAGAACUGUAACACUCACUUCGAGGGUGCACGGCUUCAUUCUUGAAGUCAGUGAGACCAAGAACCCCCCAAUUCUGCACAGAAUAGGUCUUACAGCUGUAAUUCUGGGAACCCAAACCCUUUUCACCAGAAAAGGAAACCAAAAUCAUGGUAUUUUGAAGACCAGAGAUAUGAGUCUCCGUUGUUUGGCAUCCCACUGACCCCACAUCUGUUUCGCUGCUAAUGCUCUGCUGCCAGAACUAUCCAAGCUGCCUCCCUCUGGGCCCAGGGACUAUUGCUGAAGAGAUGACAUCUCUGUAUGUUACCCAGGCUGGACUGGAACUCUGGGCUCAAGCCAUCCUCCUGCCUCACCUCCUGAAGUGUUGGGAUUACAGGUAUGUGAAUCACUGCACCCUUCCUGAAUUUCCAUUUUUC
rnacentral:lncRNA from 1 species